GCUCGGCGGCCGGCGGAGACGCGGGUGGCCGGCGAUGGCCGCGGAGGAGGCCGGCUGGGGCCGGGCUCAUGGAGGCCGACGGAAGGCGGUGGCCAAAGAACCGCGCCCCUUGGCGAGCGCAUGCUGUGUGCCUCGCGCCUGUCUUUCCCGCCGCCGCCGCCUCCCUGCCAGUGCAUCUCAGAUCGGACUGGCUGCAUUUCCACAGCCGAGCAACCACGUGGCUACCGCGCUGACCCUGCAGUGCUAGAUGGGGUCCUGGAAGAGACACCAAGUGGAUUUCCCAUCAAGUAGUCACAUAGAGGAUGGCCGUUCUUCACACUGAAUACUUCGUGUGCGUUCUCCUGUGUGAUGCUCACAGCAGGCCUUUGAGUCGCCGUGGGGAAGAACGAAGUCCUUCAUGCACCUCGCGGCUGUGGUGGGUUCUCAGAUUCUCCUUAUUUUUGAUGACCUUGACGGUUUUGAGAAGAAAUGAUCAGGUCCUCAGUACUUUUUCCUCGGCCCCAGUGUGCCCUGCAGGUGCUCCGCCCUGGGGAUACCACAGCAGCCGUGCCACACGGAAGUCACAGUCAGCCUGUGGGAAUGGGCUGAAGCGGGCAACUCCAGCACUGACAAGGUGUGCAACCUUGGCUCCUGGAAUGCCACCCCCGAGAUAACGUGGGUCACUGAUCUGGACAACCGCGGCACAUUUUGCUUUCCAGAAUGAUCUUUCUGCAACUGACCCAUAACCAUUCCCAUCAUUUCUUUACCCCAGAGUGAAAGAAACCCAUGCCCGGUAGCAGUCCCUCCCCAGCCUCUGGCGACCACGAGUCUAUUUCCUGACCCCAGGGAUUCGCCUGUUCUGGUCCCUUCAUGGAACUGGAAUCAUGUCUCGUGUGGCCUUUUGUGUUUGAGCAUCCUCCAUCAAGGUCCAUCCACACUGGAGUGUGAACUGGUACCUCGUGGCUGAGUAGCAUUGCACCGUGGCGACGCCAUAUUUUCUCGCUCCAGUCAUCACGUGACGAACAUGGGGCUCUUCCCACCCCUUGGCUCUUGGGAAUAACGCUGCUGUGAGCCUUCACGGACGAGUUUUUUACGAACAUAUGUUCUCCGUUCUCUUGGGUCGAUUCCUAGGAGUGGGAUGGCGGGGUCCCAUUGAUCACUCUAUGUUUAAUGUUUUGAGAGACCGUUUUCCCCAAUCCUUUGUUUAUAAAUGAGGUGGACGCUCCGUGCUUGCUGUCACGGCAGGCUGUCGGCUGGCUGCGACGUGUCUCCAGCCUCGUUCUUCACGGCGACUCACAGCAAGCAGACUGGGGGGCUCAUGCGUGUGCUGUGGUUUGCGUGCAAGGUGCCUCCCGCCGGCCCCUGAUGUGCUGGCACAGGAACACCGAGGACGGGUGUUUCUGUUUCUGGGUCCUGCCCCCAUCCACUCCCCAGCAAUACCCCCACUCCCCGUAUCACAAAAUCUUCAAACCUCUCAGCUCCCCAGACAUUGUUUCCAAACGCACACGUUUCUCAGAGCGCCCCGUGCUUGCCGGCGUGCAGUGGAGAGCGAGGUGUGCGGUAGGAACAAGCCAUGUGUUAUCAGUCUAUUAAGAGCUCACGCAAAUUGAUAAGAACCAAGGGAGCAAAGGUCAGAAACAGUUUGCAGGCAGAGUCCAAAAACCUCAGAGCAGGUCAACCAGGGGGCCCAAGGGUAGGACCCAAGGUGUAGAUCAUUCCAGCAUUGCCAGAACCCCCACACUGGCUUUCCCCAGGGCUGGCAGCCAUGUGAUGCCAGAAAGACACCCAUUGGAAGAUACCUGCCCAGCAUAGAAAAAGGGUCACUUUCUGCCUCUGUCGCUGAAGUGCUGACCAUUCUCCUGAGCCACCCAUGGAAGGGCUGUAGGCCGAAGGACAUUUGGCAUUCUAGACCUUCGGCUUGGCACUGGUCCAAAUGCCCAGAGAUGAGGCUGGCUUAAUGAAUUGCCCAUUCACUAGAAAAAAUGGGUAGAGGCCUGUGACCAUACGGAGUUAGAGUGGCUCCCGGCCUCUAGAUUGGCCACUGUGUGGAUGCCUUUCCUUUUUAAAAACUUUUAAUUUUUUGGGGCGCCUGGGUGGCUCAGUGGGUUAAAUC